GCGUGAGUGAUGAAGGCCCUAGGGUUGUAAAGCUCUUUCGCUAGAGAAGAUAAUGACGGUAUCUAGUAAAGAAGCCCCGGCUAACUUCGUGCCAGCAGCCGCGGUAAUACGAAGGGGGCUAGCGUUGUUCGGAAUUACUGGGCGUAAAGCGCACGUAGGCGGACAUUUAAGUCAGGGGUGAAAUCCCGGGGCUCAACCCCGGAACUGCCUUUGAUACUGGGUGUCUUGAGUAUGGAAGAGGUGAGUGGAAUUCCGAGUGUAGAGGUGAAAUUCGU
rnacentral:rRNA from 1 species